rnacentral:rRNA from 1 species
AUUGAACGCUGGCGGCAGGCCUAACACAUGCAAGUCGAACGGUAACAGGAAGCAGCUUGCUGCUUCGCUGACGAGUGGCGGACGGGUGAGUAAUGUCUGGGAAGCUGCCUGAUGGAGGGGGAUAACUACUGGAAACGGUAGCUAAUACCGCAUAAUGUCGCAAGACCUAAGAGGGGGACCUUCGGGCCUCUUGCCAUCGGAUGUGCCCAGAUGGGAUUAGCUUGUUGGUGGGGUAACGGCUCACCAAGGCGACGAUCCCUAGCUGGUCUGAGAGGAUGACCAUCCACACUGGAACUGAGACACGGUCCAGACUCCUACGGGAGGCAGCAGUGGGGAAUAUUGCACAAUGGGCGCAAGCCUGAUGCAGCCAUGCCGCGUGUAUGAAGAAGGCCUUCGGGUUGUAAAGUACUUUCAGCGGGGAGGAAGGGAGUAAAGUUAAUACCUUUGCUCAUUGACGUUACCCGCAGAAGAAGCACCGGCUAACUCCGUG